GUAGUAUUUGUGGCCGAGUGGUUAAGGCGAUGGACUAGCAAUCUAUUGGGGUCUCCCCAUGCGGGUUCGAUUCCUGCCGACUGCG